UACGGAGGGGGCUAGCGUUGUUCGGAAUUACUGGGCGUAAAGCGUACGUAGGCGGCUUUGUAAGUUAGAGGUGAAAGCCCGGGGCUCAACCCCGGAAUUGCCUUUAAGACUGCAUCGCUUGAAUCGCGGAGAGGUGAGUGGAAUUCCGAGUGUAGAGGUGAAAUUCGUAGAUAUUCGGAAGAACACCAGUGGCGAAGGCGCUCUACUGGGCCAUUACUGACGCUGAUGGACGAAAGCUAGGGGAGCGAAAGGG
rnacentral:rRNA from 1 species